AUGAAGGUCUGGUUAUUCACAGGUAAAUAGUAAUAUGCUCUAAACCGCUCUGGUAACAACCAAACUGUGCUGCCCUGUUUCUAAUGGUCCACAUGGCUGGGAUAACCUAUUCAAAUACAGAGAGAUGUGAAAGCCUGUCUGCAGAUGAAUAGGUCCCUAAUGAAGAGCAGUGGUUCUCAGUCCUGGUCCUGGGGACUCAAAGGGAUACCUUGUAACUGGAGAUUCCUUCAAAACGAUUGCCUACAGUUACCAUGUAGGG